GAUGUUGCCUGAAAAGUUUUGCAUGGAAUAAUGGAAUAGGACUUCGGUUCUAUUUUGUUGGUUUUCGGAUCCGAAGUAAUGAUCAAAAGAGACAGGCGGGGACGUUUGUAUGGCUGCGCUAGAGGUGAAAUUCAUGGACCGUAGCCAGACAAACUAAAGCGAAAGCAUUCGUCAAGCAUGUUUUCAUUGACCAUGAGCGAAAGUCAGAGGCUCGAAGACGAUCAGAUACCGUCCUAGUUCUGACCAUAAACGAUGCCAACUGACGAUCCGUGGUGGUAGUAUAACAACCAUCCCCACGGGCAGUCCCCGGGAAACCUUUAAGUCUUUGGGUUCCGGGGGAAGUAUGGUUGCAAAGCUGAAACUUAAAGGAAUUGACGGAAGGGCACCACCAGGAGUGGAGCCUGCGGCUUAAUUCGACUCAACACGGGAAAACUCACCCGGCCCGGACACUGUGAGGAUUGACAGAUUGAUAGC
rnacentral:rRNA from 1 species